CCCCCCCCCCCAACACUCUUAGGACCCCCCCCCGAAACCCUGAGGACCCCCCCUCUUGGGGACUUCCCCCUCCAUAGCCUUCAGGGACCCGGUGGACCUUUGAGGGACCCCUCUCAGGAGGAUGGAGGGGCCACCCCCCUUUUAUUUUUCGGGGGAGUGUCCCCUGCUUUUUUUGGGGUGCCCCCCCCAGCUCUGUGUGUCCCCCCCCCCAGCCCUGCCCGGACGUUUACAGCUUCCCCCUCUUCUCGGAGCGCCUGGGGGCCGAGCUGGUGGCCGAGGCCGAGCGCUACGGGCACUGGAGCCGCGAGCACCACGAGGCGGGGGCGGAGGCGCUGGGGCUGUCCCUGCUGGGGCUGGAGCCCACCUGGCUGGGGGCCCUGCGCCGCUUCCUCGCCCCCGUGGCCCAGAAGCUCUACCCCGGCUACCACACCAAGGGCCGGGCGGUGCUGAGCUCGGUGGUCCGGUACCGCCCCCCCGCCGGCCCCCCCACGGCCCCUGCCCGCAGCCUCCCCGCGGCCACCGUCACCGUCAGCCUGGCCCUCAACGGGGACCACCAGGGAGGGGGCUGGCGCUUCCCCCGCUACGACUGCGCGGUGCCGGGGCCCCCCCCCGGCUGGGCGCUGCUGCACCCCGGGCGCCUCACCCACCGCCCCCAGGCGCUGCCCCCCCGCGCCGGCACCCGCUACGCACUGGUGACGCUGCUGGACCCCUGAGGGACCCCCGGGGACAGCGGGGGGACAGGAGGACCUCGGGGGACAUUGGGGACACCGGGGACAUCGGGGGCACCCAGCACCCAAAGGUGCCACCCACACCUGCUUCGCCCUGGUGACGCUGCUGGGGGACGUUGGGGACACCAAGGCCAUCGACGGACACCAGACACGGGGGGGGGGGGGGCACCCCGAGGUGCCACUGCUGCCACCCUUUGGGGACACCGCUGGGGACAAGGGGACAUGGGGACACCCAGCACCCCACCACUCCGCUGCCCCCCCUCGGGGACACCGCGGGACCCCCAGGGGACACUGGGGACACUGAGGGGGCAUCAAGGACACUGAGGACAUCGGGACCCCCCCCCCGGUGUCCCCCCCCCCGGAC
rnacentral:lncRNA from 1 species